AUUUCUCCCUGAGACUAUAAGUCUCCUGAAGGAACGUUGAAGACGACGACGUUGAUAGGCCGGGUGUGUAAGCGCAGCGAUGCGUUGAGCUAACCGGUACUAAUGAACCGUGAGGCUUAACCUU
rnacentral:rRNA from 1 species